UGGGGGAUUUUGCACAAUGGGCGAAAGCUUGAUGCAGCGACGCCGCGUGGGGGAUGAAGGCCUUCGGGUUGUAAACUUCUUUUGCUCUGAACAAGGCGCACCAUGGGGUGUGUUGAGUGUAGGGGUUGAUUAGCGCCGGCUAACUACGUGCCAGCAGCCGCGGUAAUACGUAGGGCGCGAGCGUUGUCCGGAAUUAUUGGGCGUAAAGGGCUUGUAGGUGGCUGGUUGCGUCUGUCGUGAAAGCUCAUGGCUUAACUGUGGGUUUGCGGUGGGUACGGGCUGGCUUGAGUGCAGUAGGGGAGGCUGGAAUUCCUGGUGUAGCGGUGGAAUGCGCAGAUAUCAGGAGGAAUACAGGUGGCGAAGGCGGGUCUCUGGGCUGUUACUGACACUGAGGAGCGAAAGCAUGGGGAGCGAACAGG
rnacentral:rRNA from 1 species